UACGGAGGGUGCGAGCGUUGUCCGGAAUCACUGGGCGUAAAGCGCACGUAGGCGGCCUGAUAAGUCGGGUGUGAAAGCCCCGGGCUCAACCUGGGAAUUGCAUUCGAGACUGCUCUGCUAGGGUGCGGAAGAGGGAGCGGAAUUCCGGUGUAGCGGUGAAAUGCGUAGAUAUCGGAAGGAACACCAGUGGCGAAAGCGGCUCCCUGGUCCAGCACCGACGUCAGGCACGAAAGCGUGGGGAGCAAACAGG
rnacentral:rRNA from 1 species